rnacentral:SRP_RNA from 1 species
GCCAAGCGCGGUGGCGCAUGCCUGUAGUCCCAGCUAUUCGGGAGGCUGAGGCUGGAGGAUCUCUUGAGUCCAGGAGUUCUGGGCUGUAGUGCGCUAUGCUGAUUGGGUGUCCGCACUAAGUUCAGCAUCAAUAUGGUGACCUCCCGGGAGUAGGGGACCACCAGGUUGCCUAAGGAGGGGUGAACCAGCCCAGGUCGGAAACAGAGCAGGUCAAAACUCUCAUGCUGAUCAGUAGCAGGAUCACACUUGUUAAUAGUCACUGCACUCCAGCCUGGGCAACAUAGCGAGACCCUGUCUCU